GACAGAGGGUGCAAGCGUUAAUCGGAAUUACUGGGCGUAAAGAGCACGUAGGUGGGUAGUUUAGUCAUAUGUGAAAGCCCUGGGCUUAACCUAGGAAUUGCAUGUGAUACUGGCUGUCUAGAGUAUGGUAGAGGGUAGUGGAAUUUCCGGUGUAGCGGUGAAAUGCGUAGAUAUCGGAAAGAACAUCGGUGGCGAAGGCGGCUACCUGGACCAAUACUGACACUGAGGUGCGAAAGCGUGGGGAGCGAACAGG
rnacentral:rRNA from 1 species